rnacentral:rRNA from 1 species
UACGUAGGGUCCGAGCGUUGUCCGGAAUUAUUGGGCGUAAAGGGCUCGUAGGCGGCCAACUAAGUCAGACGUGAAAUCCCUCGGCUUAACCGAGGAACUGCCCUCCAAACUGCUUGGCUUGAGACCGGGAGAGGUGAGUGGAAUUCCCAGUGUAGCGGUGAAAUGCGUAGAUAUUGGGAGGAACACCAGUGGCGAAGGCGGCUCACUGGACCGGUACUGACGCUGAGGCGCGAAAGCGUGGGGAGCAAACGGGG